rnacentral:rRNA from 1 species
UACGUAGGGGGCAAGCGUUGUCCGGAAUCAUUGGACGUAAAGAGCGUGUAGGCGGCCAGAUAAGUCCGCUGUGAAAUCUCGAGGCUCAACUUCGAGCUGUCGGUGGAAACUGUCUGGCUAGAGUCCGGAAGAGGAGAAUGGAAUUCCCGGUGUAGCGGUGAAAUGCGCAGAUAUCGGGAAGAACACCCGUGGCGAAGGCGGUUCUCUGGGACGGUACUGAC